rnacentral:rRNA from 1 species
AUUGAACGCUGGCGGCAGGCCUAACACAUGCAAGUCGAGCGGUAGAGAGGAGCUUGCUCCUCUUGAGAGCGGCGGACGGGUGAGUAAUGCCUAGGAAUCUGCCUGGUAGUGGGGGAUAACGUUCGGAAACGGACGCUAAUACCGCAUACGUCCUACGGGAGAAAGCAGGGGACCUUCGGGCCUUGCGCUAUCAGAUGAGCCUAGGUCGGAUUAGCUAGUUGGUGAGGUAAUGGCUCACCAAGGCGACGAUCCGUAACUGGUCUGAGAGGAUGAUCAGUCACACUGGAACUGAGACACGGUCCAGACUCCUACGGGAGGCAGCAGUGGGGAAUAUUGGACAAUGGGCGAAAGCCUGAUCCAGCCAUGCCGCGUGUGUGAAGAAGGUCUUCGGAUUGUAAAGCACUUUAAGUUGGGAGGAAGGGCAGUAAAUUAAUACUUUGCUGUUUUGACGUUACCG